GUUACGGCGGUCAUAGCGGAAGGGAAACACCCGGUUACAUUCCGAACCCGGAAGUUAAGCUUUCCAGCGCCGAUGGUACUGCACCGGGGACGGUGUGGGAGAGUAGGACACCGCCGGACAA
rnacentral:rRNA from 1 species